rnacentral:rRNA from 1 species
CUCACAGCGCUCGCUCUCACCCACCGUUCCCCGACUCGCAUUCAGCGCCGCUACCCCUCGUCUCUCUCCCCCUUCCGAUCUGAGUCAUUGUUGGAGACCGGAGGCAACCGGAGAGCCGGCCGACGGCGGGUGGCACCAGCUGCUGGAGGACAUCCCUCCCGACCUGAGGCGCAGUUGAAGAUCGGCGGCAGGCUGCUGCGCGGUCGAUGGCGGCAGGCGCGGGUAGCACCAGCUGCUGGAGGACCUGUUCCGUCUGUGCUUGAUGAAGGCGAGGACAUGCAGCACCGUCGACCUCCUUGUCAUACGUCUCCUCGACUAGACAUCCCCGCUCAUGAUGCGGAGCACCAUCGCGUUGCUCCUCCAGCUCACGGUUGUGCUCCUAGUCCACUCGCAGGCCUUCUCCAAUAGCAGCAGUGCGAGUUCUUGGUUGUGUGGCAGUGAGCAACAAUCAGCGGCGAAGCUCCGUCCAGCCAUAACAGCAGUUCUGAAGCUCCCUUUUUCUGGUUAUCUACACUCUGUUGUUGUUUCGUACUUUUGUUAUCUGUAGUUAGAAUACUAAC